AUGGCAUUGGCAGGGGCGGAGGUGGUGGCCGCCGUCGACCACCGCGGCCGCCCGGUGUCGCGGCGCUCCUCCGGUCGGUGGCCGGCCGCGCUCUUCGUCGUCGGGGUGGAGGUCGCGGAGCGGUUCGCGUUCGCCGGCAUCUCCAGCAACCUCAUCACCUACCUGACGGGCCCGCUCGGGCAGUCGACGGCGUCGGCCGCGGCGGCCGUCAACGUGUGGGCGGGCGUGGCCAUGCUGCUCCCGCUGCUCGGCGCCGCCGUGGCCGACUCCUGGCUCGGCCGGUACCGCACCAUCGUCUACGCCUCCGGCCUCUACAUCCUGGGACUGGCCAUGCUCACCGUCUCGUCGGCGCCACCAGCGGCAUGCGCGAGCACGCCGGACUCAGCCGAGUGCUCGGCAGGCCCGUCCACCGUUCAAGUGGCCUUCUUCUACGUCUCCCUCUACCUCGUCGCAUUCGCCUACGGCGGCCAGAAGCCCUGCGUGCAGGCGUUCAGCGCGGACCAGUUCGACGAGAGUGACCCCGAGGAGCUCGCGUCCAGGGGCUCCUUCUUCAACUGGUGGUGCUUCGCCACAAGCGGCGGCAACACCAUCACCAUCUCGGCCUUGAACUACGUCCAGGAGAGCGUAAGCUGGCAGUUCGGAUUCGGCAUCCCGUGCGCCGCCAUGGCGCUCGCUCUCUCCGUCUUCUUGCUCGGAACCAGCACCUACCGCUUCUACCCACCGGAGAGGAACGGCGGCCUGCUCGCGCAGCUCGGCGAACUGCUCGUGUCGAGGGCUAAAUCCUGGCACUCGUCAUGGAGUUCCAAUUCCAAAUUACCCGAUGAUGACUCACUGCCAUUGCUUGCCGAUGCUCCAUCGGCAUCCAAGGAUAACGCCAAAGAUUUCCCUCACGAAGCCACGUCGCUGCUCAAGCUGUUCCCGAUAUGGUCGACCUGCCUGAUCUACGCCGUCGUCCUGUCGCAGUGGUCGACGCUGUUCACCAAGCAGGCGAGCACGCUGGACAGGAGGAUCGGCAGCUUGCUCGUACCGGCCGCCGCCAUGCAAAACCUGAGCCACGCCGCAGUGCUCAUCUUCCUCCCGAUCUACGACCGGAUCCUCGUCCCGCUCGCUAGAAAACGCACAGGGAACCCUCGUGGCAUCACCGUCCUGCAGAGGAUCGGCGUCGGGCUGGCGAUCUCGAUCGUCGCCAUGAUUGUCGCCGCGCUGGUGGAGACCAAGAGGCUCAGGAUCGCAGCCGACCACGGCCUGCUAGACGAGCCUCAAGUUCCCAUCCCCAUGAGCCUGCUGUGGGUGGUUCCUCAGUUCCUCCUGGCCGGGCUGUCCGGCGUGUUCGCGUUCGUCGGCCUGCAGGAGUUCUUCUACGACCAGGUGCCGGACUCCCUCCGCAGCCUGGGCAUCGCUCUGUGCAUGAGCAUCGCCGGGGCUGGCUGCUUCAUCAGCAGCUUCCUCGUGUACGCCAUUGACAGGGUGACCAGCAGCAAUGGGGGGAGCUGGUUCUCAAACAACCUCAACAGGGGGCACCUCGACUACUUCUUCUGGCUCCUGGCCGCGCUCAGUGCCUUGGGCUUCUCUGCUUACCUGCACUUUGCAAGGGUUUAUGUCGGCAAGAAAAGGAACAGUUCAGCUUCAGUACAGUGA
rnacentral:rRNA from 1 species